GCCCUCUCAGAGUCGCACCUGGAGAGUUUCCAGUCUUCUACCAGUCUUGGCUACGGGAGGGAGAGUCGAGCAGAGGUCUACCCAUUCCACUCUUAGCUUGGCCAGUGGCUAGCGAAUGGAAGGCAACCUGCUACAAGU